rnacentral:rRNA from 1 species
AGGCAGCAGUGAGGAAUAUUGGUCAAUGGGCGAGAGCCUGAACCAGCCAAGUAGCGUGAAGGAUGACUGCCCUAUGGGUUGUAAACUUCUUUUAUAAAGGAAUAAAGUCGGGUAUGGAUACCCGUUUGCAUGUACUUUAUGAAUAAGGAUCGGCUAACUCCGUGCCAGCAGCCGCGGUAAUACGGAGGAUCCGAGCGUUAUCCGGAUUUAUUGGGUUUAAAGGGAGCGUAGAUGGAUGUUUAAGUCAGUUGUGAAAGUUUGCGGCUCAACCGUAAAAUUGCAGUUGAUACUGGAUAUCUUGAGUGCAGUUGAGGCAGGCGGAAUUCGUGGUGUAGCGGUGAAAUGCUUAGAUAUCACGAAGAACUCUGAUUGCGAAGGCAGCCUGCUAAGCUGCAACUGACAUUGAGGCUCGAAAGUGUGGGUAUCAAACAGGAUUAGAUACCCUGGUAGUCCACACGGUAAACGAUGAAUACUCGCUGUUUGCGAUAUA